GGGGAUUUAGCUCAGCGGCAUAAGCGCCUGCCUUGCAAGCAGGCGGUCGUGAGUUAGAUCCCUGAUACCCA
rfam:Cavia porcellus supercont2_0 genomic scaffold, whole genome shotgun sequence.